AUCCGGCUGACUAGUCCCACAUAAGACGAAACGCGCAUCCUGGAU
rnacentral:hammerhead_ribozyme from 1 species